GUGGGGAAUAUUGCACAAUGGGCGCAAGCCUGAUGCAGCAACGCCGCGUGAGGGAUGACGGCCUUCGGGUUGUAAACCUCUUUUAGUAGGGAAGAAGCGAAAGUGACGGUACCUGCAGAAAAAGCACCGGCUAACUACGUGCCAGCAGCCGCGGUAAUACGUAGGGUGCAAGCGUUGUCCGGAAUUAUUGGGCGUAAAGAGCUCGUAGGCGGCUUGUCGCGUCUGCUGUGAAAACCCGAGGCUCAACCUCGGGCCUGCAGUGGGUACGGGCAGGCUAGAGUGCGGUAGGGGAGAUUGGAAUUCCUGGUGUAGCGGUGGAAUGCGCAGAUAUCAGGAGGAACACCGAUGGCGAAGGCAGAUCUCUGGGCCGUAACUGACGCUGAGGAGCGAAAGCAUGGGGAGCGAACAGGAUUAGAUACCCCGGUAGUCC
rnacentral:rRNA from 1 species